CUAAAGCAUAAAGAUUUGAUUUGUUACGAUAUCAAGUAAGGAAUAUCUCCCUACAUAAUUUGUGGAGUCAGGCCAAUCUGUAAAAAGAAAAUAAGAUAAGUGACUUGCGAAGCAAGGAAGACAGAGGAAGAGGACGACAAAGAAAAGAAUGUAUAUCUUGGGAAAGGCAAAGGGGAAGAGGAAGAGGAAGUAGCAGCUCAGUUUGGUUGUCGUCACUUUCAGAAGACUGCCUCUCAUACAACGUCAUUGAUUUGAGUUCUGGUAAGCGGCGAUAAUUGGCAUUCUUUAGUGGGAAGGGGAGCUAUGAAAUGCUACACGCAGAAAUAAAUAUCUUCCUGCAGUAUGCAGAUCGUGGGGUAGUAUUCCCUCUUAAAGAAAAACCUACAACUACACAAGUAGGCAUCUUAUAUUAUAUAUAAGAUGCUAAUGCAGAUGUUACACAAGAAUUCGUAAGCAGAAUAUCUUGGGGGCAUUUAAUUUUGAUGCUGCAAAUUAGUAACAUUAGAAGGUAACAAUAGUACUGGUCAGCUCUUCUUACAACAAUAUCCUGUGGUUAUAUACAUCCCUAUGCUAACAGCCAUUUCAUUCGUCCAUUUCCGUUGCACAGGAGCAAAAGUAGGAAGCCUCUGCGAAACAAACCACCAUCAUUCUGUGCCAUUGACAGCCCCCAUACUGCAGCUGGUUGUUGUAGAUCCUUCACCCGUGAUGGAUCUUACCAAGGUGCCACAUUACUGCAACGGUGGGUUCUACUCCUUGACAAACCUCAUCGAUGGCAAAUUUGGCGUUCUUCCCCAUAACUUUGAUAAGCCUUGUGAAGUAGAGGACUGAGCCAUAGAGAUAUUGGAGCAGAUGAUAAAGUGAGAUGCGGGUAAAACCUUGGCGUCCAGCAGUUUAUAAUAUGCAGUGUCCUCGAUGACGCAAUCAGGAGAAAUCAGCUUCUCGAGCCGUGUGAUGUCCUUAUCAUUGAGGGAGGAGUAGAACUCCUGAAUCACAUCUGUCAGGGGUGAAGAUGCUGGUGGCGGGACUGCAGGCCGUGUUUUAGGUUGAAAGAGGGAGGCUGGAAGGAGACAAGCGUGAGGGCCGAAUUCAUGGCGUUUGGGUGUUUGCAUGCAGAAAGCGGUGAAGGCAUAGAGGAAUGACAUGUAGAGCUGGUGAGCAUUUUUAGUUGCUUGGUGGUUAGAGAAUGAAUCUGAGUAUAUAUGUAGGGGAAGAAGCUUCUUCCUGGCAUCGAAUGGUAAAAGCAUAAACAUUUAUUGGUUACCUUAUGAAGUAAGGAAUCGCUUUGGAUAUAAUAUAUAGAGCCAGGCAAGGCAAGGCAAGAAUCAUGCGAUUCUGUAAAAAGGUAUUGCUUAAUUUGUUCCUUUUGCUAUGCUUGCUUUACAAUGAGUUUCCCUGACAUGUGUUCAGGUAUACAGGAGAGAGGAAAAAUAGACUUGGGAAAGAGAAAGACACGGAGAAAGUUGCGGAAUUGUUGGGUCGUCCCCUUCUGGAAGAAGCCUAAUUAAGCUGCCUUCUACUUGCUCGACUUCCCAACUGCUUUCUUCGUGGCAGCAGCAAGAGGAGGAAGAGGGAACAUGUCUUGGUCCCUGACUUCCUUCUCCAUGGUCCUCGUCUCCUCCAGCGUGCCUCAUGGCUCAUCUGCCUCAUCUUCUUUCUUUGAAUACUUUCCGCAUGGAUGCCAGCUUACUUGGUUGCGCCUCCUCCUCCUGCUCCUGAUGCUUCAACACAAAUGAGCCAGUACACACUCUUUCUUGGUAUAUCCAGAUGACCCGACAGAGGCGGCACGAACCGUUGAGGCCAUGCCCUUUCAGUCUGACUUGUCGAUAUACAUGAAUCUUUUGUCCACAUCGAGCAUGAAACGACAAGAAGAGUAAUUCAGGAUUCACUGUUGUCCGACGGCAUUUUUUCUUCUUCAACGGUUUCACGGAAAUUUCGGUGCAUAUGAGACAUUAUAUGAACAAAUUAUGUUCCACCCCUACUGAAACCAUAAUCUUUUAGAGUCAAUGCAGAGUAUGGUAUUGAUGGUAUCCACUUAGUUAGUUAACCAAGGAAUGAUACAUAGGCACCGCACAAUAGUAAUAUUAAAAUGCGUGACAGUUAAUAGCAUUGCUCAGUACACCCUCUGUAAAGAAAUAUAUGAUCGUUUAGAUAGUACAACAAUAUCAUGUGGUUAUAUAUAUACAUAUGUACAUACAUCCCCUAUGCUGACAGUCAUUUUCUUUUAAGAGUGAAAUGACGUAGUUUUUUGUUUUGUUUCACAGGAGCAAGCAAGCCUCGGGAAACAAGCCAACAUCUCCGAGAAUUGAUUGCUAUUCCUCCGAAUGUGGGAUUUCCUGUGGUAUUAGCUGGCUCCUUACAUCACCAACUCUUUGCAUAUGCUAUACAAAAUGAGGAGCACCGUAAUCAAUCCGUAUGCACCAUAUCUGAAAAGCAACGCGAUAAGCUCCAUGCAGGAUUCAUAAAGCUUCACAGAGGCCUCGAGUCCUGCUGCAUUCCGUAGAAAUCCUGCAUGUGUACGUACUUCCAUGCUUAGCAAGUGGUACUGGUUUAUUUAUUUAUUUUUUACUGAAAAGUUGAAUUUAUGAAGCACAUACUUUCAGCCGAUUCUGGAUCUUGGUCGAACGAAUAGGCAAAGGAAUGAAGUAUGUCCUGUAGGGAUUGGAAUAUUUCAUGGGAGGCAAUUAUUAGUCAGACUAAGAAAUAUUAUAGUUGGAUGCAGCAGCCUACCAAUUCCCGGUUUCCUUGUUUCACAGGCGAGUCGUUGAAGAUAUGAACUUUCCUGCAGCGUGGGUGAAAACAUUUAUUUAUUUACAUCUAAAAGAAAAUUAUCUAGAGGCUGCCCAAAACCCUCCUUUUCAAAUAGAACCAUAAGAAAUAUAAUCUCCAAGAGAUGCAUGGAAAUAUAGAAACAUGGCAUUAAUAUUAUAUACAGAAUGUUUUCUUGAGAAUCUCUGCUACCUGAUAAGAAGCUCUUCUCCGUUUGCUGAACAAGUGCAGAAACUAAGGCCUUCGGUAAACGGGAUGAUCUUACCCUUCCACUCUGCAACAAGAUGAUAUGAUUACCAUGUACCAGAGACUGCCUGCCAUUUUAAUGCAAAAAACUCCAUGCUGCAGGUUCUUACCAAGGUGCCACAUUACUACAGCAACAGCGGGUUCUACUCCUUGACAAACCUCAUCGAUAGCAAAUUUGGCAUUCUUCCCCAUAGACCCCAUGAGCCUUGCGAAAGAUAUUGGAGCAGAUGAGAUGGGAGAAUAACCUUGAAGGUGAGUGGUUUGUAAUAGGAAGCAUGCUCGACGGUGCAAUCAGGGUGAAUCAGC